UAGGGAAUUUUGCGCAAUGGAGGAAACUCUGACGCAGCAACGCCAUGUGUGGGAUGAAGCAUUUCGGUGUGUAAACCACUGUCAGCAGGGAAUAAAUGGUCUCUUCGGAGGCAGUUGAAUGUACCUGCAAAGGAAGCCCCGGCUAACUUCGUGCCAGCAGCCGCGGUAAUACGAGGGGGGCAAAUGUUGUUCGGAAUCACUGGGCGUAAAGGGAGCGUAGGCGGGCUCUUAAGUUAGGUGUUUAAUCCCGGGGCCCAACCCCGGACAGGCACCUAAAACUGGGAGUCUUGAAUAGUGGAGAGGACGGCGGAAUUGGGGGUGUAGCGGUGGAAUGCGUAGAGAUCCCCAAGAACACCAGUUGCGAAGGCGGCCGUCUGGACACAUAUUGACGCUGAGGCUCGAAAGCAUGGGGAGCAAA
rnacentral:rRNA from 1 species